GCGAGUGAAGCGGUAAAAGCUCAAAUUUGAAAUCUGGUACUUUCAGUGCCCGAGUUGUAAUUUGUAGAAUUUGUCUUUGAUUAGGUCCUUGUCUAUGUUCCUUGGAACAGGACGUCAUAGAGGGUGAGAAUCCCGUUUGGCGAGGAUACCUUUUCUCUGUAAGACUUUUUCGAAGAGUCGAGUUGUUUGGGAAUGCAGCUCAAAGUGGGUGGUAAAUUCCAUCUAAAGCUAAAUAUUGGCGAGAGACCGAUAGCGAACAAGUACAGUGAUGGAAAGAUGAAAAGAACUUUGAAAAGAGAGUGAAAAAGUACGUGAAAUUGUUGAAAGGGAAGGGCAUUUGAUCAGACAUGGUGUUUUUUGCAUGCACUCGCCUCUCGUGGGCUUGGGCCUCUCAAAAAUUUCACUGGGCCAACAUCAAUUCUGGCAGCAGGAUAAAUCAUUAAGAAUGUAGCUACUUCGGUAGUGUUAUAGCUUUUUGGAAUACUGUUAGCCGGGAUUGAGGACUGCGCUUCGGCAAGGAUGUUGGCAUAAUGGUUAAAUGCCGCCCGUCUUGA
rnacentral:rRNA from 1 species